rnacentral:rRNA from 1 species
GAUGAACGCUGGCGGCGUGCCUAAUACAUGCAAGUCGAGCGAACAGACGAGGAGCUUGCUCCUUUGACGUUAGCGGCGGACGGGUGAGUAACACGUGGGUAACCUACCUAUAAGACUGGGAUAACUUCGGGAAACCGGAGCUAAUACCGGAUAAUAUUUCGAACCGCAUGGUUCGAUAGUGAAAGAUGGCUUUGCUAUCACUUAUAGAUGGACCUGCGCCGUAUUAGCUAGUUGGUAAGGUAACGGCUUACCAAGGCAACGAUACGUAGCCGACCUGAGAGGGUGAUCGGCCACACUGGAACUGAGACACGGUCCAGACUCCUACGGGAGGCAGCAGUAGGGAAUCUUCCGCAAUGGGCGAAAGCCUGACGGAGCAACGCCGCGUGAGUGAUGAAGGUCUUCGGAUCGUAAAACUCUGUUAUUAGGGAAGAACAAACGUGUAAGUAACUGUGCACGUCUUGACGGUACCUAAUCAGAAAGCCACGGCUAACUACGUG